rnacentral:rRNA from 1 species
UACGAAGGGGGCUAGCGUUGUUCGGAAUUACUGGGCGUAAAGCGCGCGCAGGCGGUUUUCCAAGUCAGUGGUGAAAGCCCGGAGCUCAACUCCGGAACUGCCAUUGAAACUGUUAAACUUGAGGACGAGAGAGGUGAGUGGAAUUCCCAGUGUAGAGGUGAAAUUCGUAGAUAUUCGGAAGAACACCAGUGGCGAAGGCGGCUCACUGGACCGGUAUUGACGCUGAGGUGCGAAAGCGUGGGGAGCAAACAGG